CGGUAAUUCCAGCUCCAAUAGCGUAUACUAUUUUUGCUGCAGUUAAAAAGCUCGUAGUCGGAUUUCAGAUUAGUUAGCAUAAGUGCUACAUGUACUGUGUUGGCUUUUCUUCUUUGACAGAAGAUUUCUUGGCAUUAAUUUGUCGGGUUACUCAACUGUCUCUUUUACUUUGAGAAAAUUAGAGUGUUCAAAGCAGGUUUAUCGCCUGAAUAUUACUCUUGGAAUAAUAAUAUAGGACUCUGGUUCUUGUUUGUUGGUGAUCAAGUGCCGGAGUAAUGAUUAAUAGCGACGGUUGGGGCCAUUCGUACUGCAAAGCGAGAGGUGAAAUUCUUGGACCUUUGUAUGACGAACAACUGCGAAAGCAUUUGGCUAGGACGUUCGCGUUGAUCAAGAACGAAAGUUGGGGGAUCGAAGACGAUCAGAUACCGUCGUAGUCUCAACCAUAAACUAUGCCAGCUAGGGAUGAGUGAGCGUUAAUUACUGACUUCAUUUGCACCUUAUGAGAAAUCAAAGCAUUAGGGUUCCGGGGGGAGUAUGGUCGCAAGGCUGAAACUUAAAGGAAUUGACGGGAGGGCACCACCAGGAGUGGAGCCUGUGGCUUAAUUUGAUUCAACACGGGAAAACUUACCAGGUCCGGACAUAGUAAGGAUUGACAGAUUGAAAGCUCUUUCUUGAUUCUAUGGGUGGUGGUGCAUGGCCGUUCUUAGUUGGUGGAGUGAUUUGUCUGGUUAAUUCCGUUAACGAACGAGACCUCAGCCUGCUAAAUAGUUGUUUCAUCUUUUGAUGGAACACACUUCUUAGAGGGACUACUUGCUAUCAAGCGAGCGGAAGCUUGAGGCAAUAACAGGUCUGUGAUGUCCUUAGAUGUUCUGGGCUGCUCACGGGCUACACUGGUGCAUUCAACAAGCCCCUUCCCUCGGUCGAAAGACCUGGGUAAUCUUUGAACUUGCACCGUGCUUGGGAUAGACUAUUGCAAUUUUUAGUCUUCAACGAGGAAUUCCUAGUAAACGCGAGUCAUCAACUCGCAUUGAUUACGUCCCUGCCCUUUGUACACACCGCCC
rnacentral:rRNA from 1 species